AUUGAACGCUGGCGGUAUGCUUUACACAUGCAAGUCGAACGGCAGCACGGACUUCGGUCUGGUGGCGAGUGGCGAACGGGUGAGUAAUACAUCGGAACGUGCCCAGUCGUGGGGGAUAACGUAGCGAAAGCUACGCUAUUACCGCAUACGAUCUAAGGAUGAAAGCGGGGGAUCGCAAGACCUCGCGCGAUUGGAGCGGCCGAUGGCAGAUUAGGUAGUUGGUAGGGUAAAGGCCUACCAAGCCGACGAUCUGCAGCUGGUCUGAGAGGAUGAUCAGCCACACUGGGACUGAGACACGGCCCAGACUCCUACGGGAGGCAGCAGUGGGGAAUUUUGGACAAUGGGCGCAAGCCUGAUCCAGCCAUUCCGCGUGCAGGAUGAAGGCCUUCGGGUUGUAAACUGCUUUUGUACAGAACGAAAAGGCUCUGGUUAAUACCCGGGGCUCAUGACGGUACUGUAAGAAUGAGCACCGGCUAACUACGUGCCAGCCGCCGCGGUAA
rnacentral:rRNA from 1 species